GACGAACCGUGCGAACGUUGUUCGGAAUCACUGGGCUUAAAGGGCGCGUAGGCGGCUUGCCAAGUCAGUGGUGAAAUCCUGCAGCUUAACUGCAGAAGUGCCUUUGAUACUGGCGAGCUGGAGGGAGGUAGGGGUAUGUGGAACUUCUGGUGGAGCGGUGAAAUGCGUUGAUAUUAGAAGGAACGCCGGUGGCGAAAGCGACGUACUGGACCUCUUCUGACGCUGAGGCGCGAAAGCUAGGGGAGCAAACGGG
rnacentral:rRNA from 1 species